rnacentral:tRNA from 1 species
CCUUAAUGAUGACGAAGUUGUUGAGUGUUCACACAGAUUCCUUGAUUCAAAGUAGUUAGAGCAAAGACCUGGUGCAGUGAUGCAUCAGCUUCUGUUGUCCAGCCUUCGGGAUGGAUGAGAGAAAACCUCUUCUGCCGGAUAACGGGAUGUGAAUAGCAGUUUACUGCUACCAGUUGUCUCCGUGCGCAAGCACUGCAAAGCAGACUCGGGGUCCCCUUCGUCUAGAGGCCUAGGACACCGCCCUUUCACGGCGGUAACAGGGGUUCGAAUUCCCUAGGGGACGCCACUUCUCUUCUUGCUAACAAGAAUGCAGAGUUAAGAACUGAUUCUUAACUCUGUUUUCUUCGGCCUCGCGCCGUUGCAAACAUGCUCUUUAACAAUCUGGAAAGCUGAUUUAAAAAGUAGUUCUCAAACAUUUGUUACAAGUGCUUUGGAAACUUCUUGGCGAAAACCAAAUUUUAUUUGGUCCUUGUUGUACAGCAACUUGAAUGCCGUUUCGACGACACUUCUUGGGGUUGUAU